CACGUAGGGGGCAAGCGUUGUCCGGAUUUAUUGGGCGUAAAGAGCUCGUAGGUGGUUCGGUAAGUCGGGUGUUAAACCCCCAGGCUCAACCUGGGGACGCCACUCGAUACUGCUGUGACUAGAGUCCGGUAGGGGAGCGUGGAAUUCCUGGUGUAGCGGUGAAAUGCGCAGAUAUCAAGGAGGAACACCAGCGGCGAAGGCGGCGCUCUGGGCCGGUACUGACACUGAGGAGCGAAAGCGUGGGGAGCGAACAGG
rnacentral:rRNA from 1 species